rnacentral:tRNA from 1 species
AGAAGUUCAAACCUUCUUGUUGACCGAGGAGUAUUACAAACAAAGAGCUGCUAACUC